AGCUUGGUAGCUUAGUUGGAAAAGCACUUGUCUAGCGAAUAAGGGUCGUGAGUUCAAAUCUCACCUGAGCUG
rnacentral:tRNA from 1 species